rnacentral:rRNA from 1 species
UACGUAGGGGGCAAGCGUUGUCCGGAUUUAUUGGGCGUAAAGAGCGUGUAGGCGGCCUGACAGGUCUGCUGUGAAAACUCGAGGCUCAACCUCGAGAUGUCGGCGGAAACCGUCUGGCUAGAGUCCGGAAGAGGAGAGUGGAAUUCCUGGUGUAGCGGUGAAGUGCGCAGAUAUCAGGAAGAACACCUAUGGCGAAGGCAGCUCUCUGGGACGGUACUGACGCUGAGACGCGAAAGCGUGGGGAGCGAACAGG